rnacentral:rRNA from 1 species
GACGUAGGGGGCGAGCGUUGUCCGGAAUCAUUGGGCGUAAAGAGCGCGUAGGCGGCCCGGAAAGUCGGAUGUGAAAACCUGGGGCUCAACCCCAGGCCUGCAUCCGAUACUCCCGGGCUCGAGGCAGGUGAGGGGAGAUCGGAAUUCCUGGUGUAGCGGUGAAAUGCGCAGAUAUCAGGAGGAACACCGGUGGCGAAGGCGGAU